UGGGGAAUAUUGCGCAAUGGGGGCAACCCUGACGCAGCAACGCCGCGUGCGGGACGAAGGCCUUCGGGUUGUAAACCGCUUUCAGCAGGGAAGAACCAUGACGGUACCUGCAGAAGAAGCCCCGGCUAACUACGUGCCAGCAGCCGCGGUAAUACGUAGGGGGCGAGCGUUAUCCGGAUUCAUUGGGCGUAAAGCGCGCGUAGGCGGCCCGCUAAGCGGGACCUCUAACCUGGGGGCUCAACCUCCAGCCGGGUCCCGAACUGGCGAGCUCGAGUGCGGUAGGGGCAGGCGGAAUUCCCGGUG
rnacentral:rRNA from 1 species